CGGUUCCUAAAAGCUACAAAGUGAUCCAGGAGUUUUGGUGUUUGAUGGGGAAUUCAUUCAUCUGUUGAGGGGGCAGGAGUUGGAGCAGUUUUGGAGGGACGCUGGCACGGAGUGGUCGGUGGCGUUUAGGAUGGGUGAUUUUGGGGAAGCUGCUGCCACAGUUUUCUGUGGAAAUGAGAAAUUCUGUGUGUAUCUGACCCAACAGAGCAUUUCCCCUCAGCUUGGAGUGUUUCCCUGCAGUUUUAGGAGGCUUCAGUCCCAGUGCUGAUGGAACAGAAGCGACACUUUAACACUUUGUUCUGCUUGUCCAGGAGGAUUUUUGGGCUUUUUUGAGCCCAUCAGAGCAGGGAGAGCCGACAGUGUCCUUCAGAGACCUCCCCAAGCCCAGCCUAGCUCUGAAUCAAAUCCGAACCUUCCCACUUGAGUAGCUGAAUGUCUUUUCAUGGAACUCUUGCUGUCAAACCAUGAAUAUUUGUGGGGUGCAGCCCGGCCUUGCCCGGUGCUGCUCCCCAGCGCCAGCCCCGACCGUGCCCAGCAUGCUCAGUGUGACUGCAAAGCACCCGUGUGCAAACGCUCUGUACAGUGGGGCCAGGGUUUUUUAUAUAUAUAUUUUGGGAUGGGGGGGGGGGGAGGAGGGUGGGUGAGGAGACUGGCAGCAUUUUCUGGUAUGCAAUGAAUAUUUUGUCUCGAGUAUCUGCAAUUCCCCUGGUGAGCUUUUGGAAGAAAAAAAAAACAAGUGAAAAAAAAAUUCAGGCUCUUUGCAGUUCCCCUCCUUGUCCUUUUUAAUUUUUAUUAUUAUUUUUUGUUUAAUUUCAAAAGCAGGAAGAAGGGGCAGCUGCAAACAGUCAUCGCUGUGGGGUUAGGAGCUCUUGACAACCCUGAGAUCUAGCAUGGUACUAGGAGUUAAGUCUGAAUGUAACAUUAAUGCUUUAUUUAAAAUUAAAAACAAAAACACUUUGGUUUUGGUUUUUUUUUUUUAAGGGGUUGAAGUGAACAUGACUGUUGACCAUGUUCGUGAAUUUCUAGAUGCAAACAUUCAUUGGUAGAAUUGUGUGAUGGUCUUUUGUGCUAAUUAAUUUGACAUAUUCCAAGUCUCUGUAUGUACCUGCAAAGAAAGAAAAACAAAAAAAAUAACAAAAACCCUGCUUUGCUUUGAUUGAAAAAGGGUUCCUGGGACUGCAUACCUGCUCCUGAGCUCUGUUUUAAGUAUGUGUAUCCUUCGCUUGUAUUUUGUAUUAAAAAAAAGAACCACGAGGAAAAAAAUGAACCCUUUAUUGUUCAGCAUGUUGGAAUUGUGUCCCCUCUUUUAUUUUUCUCCUUUUUGGAAUAUAUUAAGCAACUCAUUCUUCUGUAUCUUUUAUUUUCUUUUGUAAACUUUUUGGUUUUGUUUAAAAAUGGCUUUAUAAAAGGGCUUUUAUAACCCA
rnacentral:lncRNA from 1 species